UAACAGAUGCCAUUAAGCAUAGUCCUCUUUUUCCCUUUGCUGGUCUUAUCUAAUUGUUGAUAUUUUUAGGGAAUAUCUUGAUGAGGCAGUUAGGUAUGGGGAGAAAGGGUAACUUCUUGUCUGAAUUGACCAAUAGGUUGGGUCGGCAGUUCUGAGCCUUCGUUUCUUUAGUUAGCUACCGCGGGCUCACGAGAAUCUGAACCCGAAUCAAAAAAAUUAAAGAGAUGGGAUGUGGGAACAGCCUAAUCCUUUAGGGUUUCACUUCAGUCUGAUAUUUGGGUCCAUUGAGAACUGCCAUUUUGGCACGGAGUACAGUUCUUUGCCAGUUCAUCCUUUCUCAUGCCACUAUUUCUG
rnacentral:lncRNA from 1 species